GUCGUUGUAGUAUAGUGGUGAGUAUUCCUACUUGUCAUGCGGGUGACAUGGGUUUGAUCCCUAGCAACAGCA
rnacentral:tRNA from 1 species